rnacentral:piRNA from 1 species
UAGGCAAAUAAUGUUUCCUACCUAUACAUG